GCAAGAACCACUCGGUAGUGAGCACGACCUCCGGUCCACGACUCCGUGUGAACCCCCCCUUUACAUUGUGCUAGCAAAAUUCCGGCGCCCAGACGUCGGCUUGGCUCCGUCUUGCACUAAAACGACAGAGAGCACAGCCUGGUGUGAUCAGGCGUAUACUUCAGCUGUUGAAAACUGAGAAUCGUUAUCUAGGCUUAGAGAUUACCGUUCUCAAUCGCUGAAAUGAUUAAACAAGCUCUUUUGGAGAACAGAGAACUUACCAUUUUUCAAAUCUACCAAUGGAUUUCAGAACUGCAGUUGGACUGUUUGCCUACCUUAUGCAGAUACUCCACAGCCUCAAUGAUUUCUGCCAGGUACAAUCUUGUUUCAUCAACUGAAAACACUCCUCCCCACUCCCGCAACAGAUGGAGC